GGAGGGUGCUAGCGUUGUUCGGAAUUACUGGGCGUAAAGGGCGCGUAGGCGGCUCGCGCAGUCGGGUGUGAAAGCCCGGGGCUCAACCCCGGAACGGCACCCGAGACGCGCGGGCUCGAGACCGGGAGAGGAGGGUGGAAUACCCAGUGUAGAGGUGAAAUUCGUAGAUAUUGGGUGGAACACCGGUGGCGAAAGCGGCUCUCUGGCCCGGUUCUGACGCUGAGGCGCGAAAGCGUGGGGAGCAAACAGGAUUAGAUACCCUGGUAGUCCACGCCCUAAACGAUGCAGGCUGGGCGUCGGGAGGCUUGCCUUCCGGUGCCGGAGCUAACGCGGUAAGCCUGCCGCCUGGGGAGUACGGCCGCAAGGUUAAA
rnacentral:rRNA from 1 species